rfam:Dipodomys ordii contig_33328, whole genome shotgun sequence.
GGUGGCUCAGUGGUAGAGCAUGCAUGCCUUGCAUGCAUGAGGCCCUGGGUUCAAUUCCUCAGCACCA